AUACGUAGGGGGCGAGCGUUGUCCGGAAUGAUUGGGCGUAAAGGGCGCGUAGGCGGCCGCUUAAGUCUGGAGUGAAAGUCCUGUUUUCAAGAUGGGAAUUGCUUUGGAUACUGUCGGGCUUGAGUGCAGGAGAGGUAAGUGGAAUUCCCAGUGUAGCGGUGAAAUGCGUAGAGAUUGGGAGGAACACCAGUGGCGAAGGCGACUUACUGGACUGUAACUGACGCUGAGGCGCGAAAGUGUGGGGAGCAAACAGGAUUAGAUACCCUGGUAGUCCACACUGUAAACGAUGAAUGCUAGGUGUAAGAGGUAUCGACCCCUUUUGUGCCGGAGUCAACACAAUAAGCAUUCCGCCUGGGGAGUACGGCCGCAAGGUUGAAACUCAAAGGAAUUGACGGGG
rnacentral:rRNA from 1 species